GACGAACGCUGGCGGCGUGCUUAACACAUGCAAGUCGAACGCUGAAGCUCAGCUUUUGUUGGGUGGACGAGUGGCGAACGGGUGAGUAACACGUGAGUAACCUGCCCCCUUCUUUGGGAUAACGCCCGGAAACGGGUGCUAAUACUGGAUAUUCACUGGUCUUCGCAUGGGGGUUGGUGGAAAGGGCGUUUCUGGUGGGGGAUGGGGUCGCGGCCUAUCAGCUUGUUGGUGGGGUGAUGGCCUACCAAGGCUUUGACGGGUAGCCGGCCUGAGAGGGUGACCGGUAACAUUGGGACUGAGAUGCGGCCCAGAGGAGUACGCGGGGCAGCAGUGGGGAAUAUUGCACAAUGGGCGCAAGACUGAUGCAGCGACGGCGCGUGAGGGAUGGAGGCCUUCGGGUUGUGAACCUCUUUCGCUCAUGGUCAGGCCGCAACAAUGGUUGUAGUGAGGGUAGUGGGUAAAGAAGCGCCGGCUAACUACGUG
rnacentral:rRNA from 1 species